UACGUAGGGGGCAAGCGUUGUCCGGAUUUAUUGGGCGUAAAGAGCGUGUAGGCGGCCAGGUAGGUCUGCUGUGAAAACUCGAGGCUUAACCUCGAGAUGUCGGCGGAAACCAUCUGGCUAGAGUCCGGAAGAGGAGAAUGGAAUUCCCGGUGUAGCGGUGAAAUGCGCAGAUAUCGGGAGGAACACCAGUGGCGAAGGCGACUUCCUGGCCUGUUCUUGACGCUGAGGCGCGAAAGCUAGGGGAGCAAACGGG
rnacentral:rRNA from 1 species